GUGCCAAAUCGAUGGUGCUGGAAACCAAAAUCCUCUAUUCACAGCACUGGUACAGCAUCUACAAGAUCAGUGCAGGCUUCUCCCAUCCUGCCCCACCAAACUGCUUCAACCCUGACCUAGAAGGAUAAGCUCUUGGGUUAAUACUGAUGCAGUUCCACCAGUGCAAGCAAUAGUGGAAUGGG
rnacentral:sRNA from 1 species